CGCUCGCGGCGGAGGCGCCGGGGCCACCGCUCGGGGGCGAGGGCUCGAGCGCUCCUCCCGCUUUACGGCUGCUGAAAACCCGGCCCGCGCCCGGCAGCCGUACCGCAGACGAGCCCGCGCCCGCGCCGCUCAGGUGCAGGUGUCGAGGUGAGUGUUGCAGAAGAUUCCUUUCUCUCUGGUGCUGAAGCUUAGAGGAUAGAAACCGGUACACCACUAGUGGCCAUGUCUGUGGCAAGAUCUCCCAGCUGGACACUGGAAAUAGCUUUUGAUGGUUUAGGGCCUCUUUCACUUGACCUCAGCUUAUCAUGUUGGGGCUGCUGCUGCUAAGUCGCUUCAGUAGUGUCUGACUCUGUGCGACCCCAUAGAUGGCAGCCCACCAGGCUCCCCCGUCCCUGAGAUUCUCCAGGCAAGAACACUGGAGUGGGCUGCUAUUUCCUUCUCCAAUGCAUGAAAGUGAAAAGUGAAAGUGAAGCUGCUCAGUCGUGUCCGACUCUUCUCGACUCCAUGGACUGCAGCCUACCAGGCUCCUAGGUAACAAAUACUAAUAUUUCCUAUUCAUUGAAACAGGAAAAAAAAGAUUAGCUUUUUAUGUCUGAUUUCUGUAAUACUGACAUUCGACGGGAGAGAUGCCUGAACUCUGUUUUGAAAGUCUGAUGUGGUGGAAAAACAUUAGGAUUUAGCAUCCAUGGUCCUUGGUUCAAAUUCUGCCACUACUACCUUAGGUAUACUUGGAUAAGUUCCUAAAGUAUCUUGAGUCUUAUUUUUCUCCUAUCUCAAAUGAGAACAAUACUAUUCAUCUUUUAUAGUUGUUUUAAAGGUUAACAAAAAUACACAGAAAACAUCCUAGUGCCUUGCAUAUAGUAGCCACUAUAUUGUGCUUAGUCAAUCAGUCAUGUCUAACACUUUGUGACUCCAUGAACUAGAG
rnacentral:lncRNA from 1 species